AUAGCCGUACUGCAUGUAUUUACACGGCAAACAAAGCUGCCAUUGCGAUUAUUACAAGAAACACAGUAUUUUACCACUUUUACCACGUCUGAAGUUAGUUUUGGACGUCAAAUUCAUCAACGCCAACUGUACUGCUGGAUAACUGAAACUAAAGCCAAGAUUGAAUAAACACAGUUACAUUGGUUCUUCGGAGGCCAGCUCAGUUGAUUGUUGUACUUAUACAAUCCCAAGAGGAAUUUGCCAUCCGUAAUAGUUCCUUUUCAUCAACAAGCCUCCUGACUUAACAAAGCUUUAAUGAAACUUCCAUUUAAAAGUUGUAAACAACGGGUCUCCUGGAGGAUACAAGCACUUGGGCUGGUACCAACCUACACCAUGGACGAGAAGAGGUUUCAUAUUCAACAAGACGGAUUUUCCAUUUCUUUCAUUAAAAGAAAGAGUACCGAAUUCCAAUGACUUGGGCAGUCCUUUGAUCGAUGAGGUAAUACAGCUUCAUACAUGUAGAUACAAUAAAUAAUUUUUUAUGCAGUUCAUGCAGGUAUAUCAAAGUUCAACUCUUAUUUUUGGUACAUGUAUUUCCAAAUUCUUUAAAAGAAAGAAGGAACAAUCGAAUUGAAUGAAAAAUUAACUUUUUUAAUAUAUAUAUUGUAUCGUAUCCGAACAUCUACCCCCUGGGCAUCCACCCCCCGGACAUCCACCACCCGGACAUCCACCCCCCGGACAUCCACCCCCUUAGGACAUCUACCCCCUAGGACAUCUACCCCUGAACAUUUACCCCCCGGACAUCUACCCCCCGGACAAUUACCCCCGGACAUUUACCCCCCGGACAUCUACCCCCGGACAUUUACCCCCGGACAUUUACCCCCCGGACAUUUACCCCCCGGACAUCUACCCCCCGGACAUCUACCCCCUAGACAUUUACCCCCCCCCCCAGACAUCUACUCACGGAUAUUUUGGAUACGGGGGGUUCCAAAAUUACGCAUCAUUUCAUAAGUGCAUGCAGACCCAAAAUUGCACAAAAACGUAAAUUUGUGUACAAAUCCAAUGCAAAUAGAGUUUUUAGCCGAAAUUCAUAAAUGUAUAAUUUUUCCAUUUACUGAUUGAAAUCAAUUAAUUCCAUCUUAU